AUUGAACGCUGGCGGCAGGCCUAACACAUGCAAGUCGAGCGGAUGAAGGGAGCUUGCUCCUGGAUUCAGCGGCGGACGGGUGAGUAAUGCCUAGGAAUCUGCCUGGUAGUGGGGGAUAACGUCCGGAAACGGGCGCUAAUACCGCAUACGUCCUGAGGGAGAAAGUGGGGGAUCUUCGGACCUCACGCUAUCAGAUGAGCCUAGGUCGGAUUAGCUAGUUGGUGGGGUAAAGGCCUACCAAGGCGACGAUCCGUAACUGGUCUGAGAGGCUGAUCAGUCACACUGGAACUGAGACACGGUCCAGACUCCUACGGGAGGCAGCAGUGGGGAAUAUUGGACAAAGGGCGAAAGCCUGAUCCAGCCAUGCCGCGUGUGUGAAGAAGGUCUUCGGAUUGUAAAGCACUUUAAGUUGGGAGGAAGGGCAGUAAGUUAAUACCUUGCUGUUUUGACGUUACCAACAGAAUAAGCCCCGGCUAACUUCGUG
rnacentral:rRNA from 1 species